rnacentral:rRNA from 1 species
UGUGAGCUCGAUGAGUAGGGCGGGACACGUGGUAUCCUGUCUGAAUAUGGGGGGACCAUCCUCCAAGGCUAAAUACUCCUGACUGACCGAUAGUGAACCAGUACCGUGAGGGAAAGGCGAAAAGAACCCCGGCGAGGGGAGUGAAAAAGAACCUGAAACCGUGUACGUACAAGCAGUGGGAGCCUCUUUUAUGGGGUGACUGCGUACCUUUUGUAUAAUGGGUCAGCGACUUAUAUUCUGUAGCAAGGUUAACCGAAUAGGGGAGCCGAAGGGAAACCGAGUCUUAACUGGGCGUUAAGUUGCAGGGUAUAGACCCGAAACCCGGUGAUCUAGCCAUGGGCAGGUUGAAGGUUGGGUAACACUAACUGGAGGACCGAACCGACUAAUGUUGAAAAAUUAGCGGAUGACUUGUGGCUGGGGGUGAAAGGCCAAUCAAACCGGGAGAUAGCUGGUUCUCCCCGAAAGCUAUUUAGGUAGCGCCUCGUGAAUUCAUCUCCGGGGGUAGAGCACUGUUUCGGCAAGGGGGUCAUCCCGACUUACCAACCCGAUGCAAACUGCGAAUACCGGAGAAUGUUAUCACGGGAGACACACGGCGGGUGCUAACGUCCGUCGUGAAGAGGGAAACAACCCAGACCGCCAGCUAAGGUCCCAAAGUCAUGGUUAAGUGGGAAACGAUGUGGGAAGGCCCAGACAGCCAGGAUGUUGGCUUAGAAGCAGCCAUCAUUUAAAGAAAGCGUAAUAGCUCACUGGUCGAGUCGGCCUGCGCGGAAGAUGUAACGGGGCUAAACCAUGCACCGAAGCUGCGGCAGCGACACUAUGUGUUGUUGGGUAGGGGAGCGUUCUGUAAGCCUGUGAAGGUGUACUGUGAGGUAUGCUGGAGGUAUCAGAAGUGCGAAUGCUGACAUAAGUAACGAUAAAGCGGGUGAAAAGCCCGCUCGCCGGAAGACCAAGGGUUCCUGUCCAACGUUAAUCGGGGCAGGGUGAGUCGACCCCUAAGGCGAGGCCGAAAGGCGUAGUCGAUGGGAAACAGGUUAAUAUUCCUGUACUUGGUGUUACUGCGAAGGGGGGACGGAGAAGGCUAUGUUGGCCGGGCGACGGUUGUCCCGGUUUAAGCGUGUAGGCUGGUUUUCCAGGCAAAUCCGGAAAAUCAAGGCUGAGGCGUGAUGACGAGGCACUACGGUGCUGAAGCAACAAAUGCCCUGCUUCCAGGAAAAGCCUCUAAGCAUCAGGUAACAUCAAAUCGUACCCCAAACCGACACAGGUGGUCAGGUAGAGAAUACCAAGGCGCUUGAGAGAACUCGGGUGAAGGAACUAGGCAAAAUGGUGCCGUAACUUCGGGAGAAGGCACGCUGAUAUGUAGGUGAAGUCCCUCGCGGAUGGAGCUGAAAUCAGUCGAAGAUACCAGCUGGCUGCAACUGUUUAUUAAAAACACAGCACUGUGCAAACACGAAAGUGGACGUAUACGGUGUGACGCCUGCCCGGUGCCGGAAGGUUAAUUGAUGGGGUCAGCGCAAGCGAAGCUCUUGAUCGAAGCCCCGGUAAACGGCGGCCGUAACUAUAACGGUCCUAAGGUAGCGAAAUUCCUUGUCGGGUAAGUUCCGACCUGCACGAAUGGCGUAAUGAUGGCCAGGCUGUCUCCACCCGAGACUCAGUGAAAUUGAACUCGCUGUGAAGAUGCAGUGUACCCGCGGCAAGACGGAAAGACCCCGUGAACCUUUACUAUAGCUUGACACUGAACAUUGAGCCUUGAUGUGUAGGAUAGGUGGGAGGCUUGGAAGUGUGGACGCCAGUCUGCAUGGAGCCGACCUUGAAAUACCACCCUUUAAUGUUUGAUGUUCUAACGUGGACCCGUGAUCCGGGUUGCGGACAGUGUCUGGUGGGUAGUUUGACUGGGGCGGUCUCCUCCUAAAGAGUAACGGAGGAGCACGAAGGUUGGCUAAUCCUGGUCGGACAUCAGGAGGUUAGUGCAAUGGCAUAAGCCAGCUUGACUGCGAGCGUGACGGCGCGAGCAGGUGCGAAAGCAGGUCAUAGUGAUCCGGUGGUUCUGAAUGGAAGGGCCAUCGCUCAACGGAUAAAAGGUACUCCGGGGAUAACAGGCUGAUACCGCCCAAGAGUUCAUAUCGACGGCGGUGUUUGGCACCUCGAUGUCGGCUCAUCACAUCCUGGGGCUGAAGUAGGUCCCAAGGGUAUGGCUGUUCGCCAUUUAAAGUGGUACGCGAGCUGGGUUUAGAACGUCGUGAGACAGUUCGGUCCCUAUCUGCCGUGGGCGCUGGAGAACUGAGGGGGGCUGCUCCUAGUACGAGAGGACCGGAGUGGACGCAUCACUGGUGUUCGGGUUGUCAUGCCAAUGGCACUGCCCGGUAGCUAAAUGCGGAAGAGAUAAGUGCUGAAAGCAUCUAAGCACGAAACUUGCCCCGAGAUGAGUUCUCCCUGACUCCUUGAGAGUCCUGAAGGAACGUUGAAGACGACGACGUUGAUAGGCCGGGUGUGUAAGCGCAGCGAUGCGUUGAGCUAACCGGUACUAAUGAACCGUGAGGCUUAACCUU